rnacentral:rRNA from 2 species
UGGGGAAUUUUGGACAAUGGGCGAAAGCCUGAUCCAGCCAUGCCGCGUGAGUGAAGAAGGCCUUCGGGUUGUAAAGCUCUUUUAGUCGGAAAGAAAGAGUUGCAAUGAAUAAUUGUGAUUUAUGACGGUACCGACAGAAAAAGCACCGGCUAACUACGUGCCAGCAGCCGCGGUAAUACGUAGGGUGCGAGCGUUAAUCGGAAUUACUGGGCGUAAAGGGUGCGCAGGCGGUCUUGCAAGUCAGAUGUGAAAGCCCCGGGCUUAACCUGGGAAUUGCGUUUGAAACUACAAGACUAGAGUGCAGCAGAGGGGAGUGGAAUUCCAUGUGUAGCAGUGAAAUGCGUAGAGAUGUGGAAGAACACCGAUGGCGAAGGCAGCUCCCUGGGUUGACACUGACGCUCAUGCACGAAAGCGUGGGGAGCAAACA